UGAAUUGUAAGGGAUAUGGUGAAGUACUGCACAAUUUAAAACAGACUUUUCAUUUGAGACAAAAAAAACAGUCGAGAUCAGUACAGAUGGUCAUAUUCCAUUUUAUAGAUGGGGAAACGAUUCAGAAAAGUUAAAUGACCUCAGUUAUAAAGCCAGUGAAUAGCAGAAUGAAGAUCUGUAUUCAGCUCUACUACACUGAAACUAGAGUGCUUGAUACUGCCAUGCUACACUGAAUUCUUUAAUUUCAGUUGAAAGGCAAAGGCUGCUCUCACAUCUGAUCUUACCACAAUGAACAGGGCAGGCCAAAGUAGGAAAUGGGCAUUACACAUAGCAGCUCCACAGGGAAAAAAGAAAUGCUAAAAUUCCCAACUGAGACUGGCCUUCAGUGCAUCUCUAUCUAUCUCAAUAGACUCAAUGGAGCACUCUGAAUAGUAGGGUCUGAGAAUACAAAUUACUUAAACCCCAGUCCACUUACCCUAUGAUUAUGAAAUCUCCUUUGCUGACAGUGUCAGGUUCAAUGCAGAUGUUCAUAAAGUCUUCUUUGCUCUAAAAAAAAAAAAAAAGACCACCAUUAAUGUCCAUAAUCCUAACGAUUUAGCUAACAUAGCUUAUUCUCAUCCCCAGCCUUGGAGGUUCAUAUUUUGAAGCUGAAUUACAUAAGGGAUUUUACUUCUAGUGACUUAAUCCUAAGUAUAUAUUCUUUUCAUUAAGAGCUUUAAUGUAGUAAAUUAACAAAUUCAUCUCCAUUGCUUUUUAUUUCCCAUUACAUAAGCAAAAUAGAAACUCAAGUGUGGGAGGUUUUCUAAUUUUGUUACUAAUAGUCACUGGUGUUAAAAGUACCCAGGAUUCCCCCCUUUCCCUGCAGGCCAAGCUUCCCUGCCCCUCUGGCCCAGCAAUUUUCAGUCCUGACUGUAGCAGUGUCACACCAGACCACAGUACUGAAUGCUUGGUGUGGUGAGCCCAGGUGUCUGUGUUCUCUAAAAUGCCCUACAUGCAAAUUUGGUAUGUAACCAGUUGAAAAGUAGCAAUUCAUUUAUUCCUUGGUGAUGUUUUUAGAACUGAACCAUUUCUAACCACAGAAACUCUGGAAGACUCCAGCUACAAGGAAGUAGCUGUAAAAACAGACAUGGCUUCUGUACCACUCCUCUAUUCACUACCAGUCCACAGUAACAACACAAACCUCGCCUCCACCCAUCAAUCCUAAAACACUUCUGUGUUGGCUACUUUUGGGGGACAUUCAAAAUUUGUAGGCCCAGGAUAACACCUGGGCUGCUGAGUGCCUAAUGCCUUUGCAUGAGAUUCAAAGGUACCACCAAAACACUCUCUCAACUAGGAAUUACAAAGUGUGCUGACAUACAGUGUGAGGACUUUCCUCAGAGUUCACCUUUCAUUUAGCUACUUAAAAGCGCCAGCCAUGUACCAUAAACUCUUUGGGGUGUUUGGGUUACAUCAAUGAACAAAACAAACAUGAAUUUCUGCCUACAGAGAACUUACAUGAAAGGGAUAGAUAAGCCAUAAUAAAACAGGAAACUCCCGAGUAUCCUGGAAGAUGAGUACACCAGAAAUAUGUCAGAGCGCAUUGGAAAGUGAGAUCAAAGAAACAGCAAGGAGCAUGAGGUGGCACCGAUGACAGCGGCUAUACUUUAUAGAUGGAGGCAGGGAAAGCUAAGCAACUUCUCUUGGUGAGCUGCUGAAAUAUGAAAUUACAGAUCAAACACAAGGCUCCUCACAAGUUAUUUGAUGAUAUCCCUGUGGAUAAGGUGAAUGUGGAAACAAUAUGCUGAAUACAAUGAGUAAACCGAGGACGUAAGAAGUAACUCUUGCAGUAUUCCAGAGCUAGAGAGCAGCUGUAAAACAGGAAACAGACCAGGACCCUUGGGGUCUGAAACCAAGGCUGAGUUCUCUAUUGUCUCUCCCACAGGCCAUCACUAAUUACCUUGGGUAUUUUGGUUAUGUUGCUUUAUGACUUAUUUGUUGGUAUUGUUUGGCAUUGGUAUUAAACAGUGAUCCAAUA